AAAAAAAAAAACCCUAAAUUUACAUGUCCAACAUUUGACUGUCUGUCUUAUAUAAAACUUUUUUAUAAUUAGUAUUUUCAUUGUUGUUAGAUGAUAAAACAUGAUUAAUGCUUUAUGUGUGACUUGUCUUUUUAAUUUUUUUUAUAAUUUUUUCAAAUAAGACGGACGGUCAAACGUUGGACACGGAAAUCCAGUGUUUGUCUUUUU
rfam:Oryza sativa Japonica Group DNA, chromosome 3, cultivar: Nipponbare, complete sequence.